AUUUUGGACUAUGGGGGCAACCCUGAUCCAGCCAUCCCGCGUGUGCGAUGAAGGCCUUCGGGUUGUAAUGCACUUUUGGCAGGGAAGAAAAGGCUCUGGCUAAUACCUGGAGCUGCUGACGGUACCUGCAGACUAAGCACGGGCUAACUACGUGCCAGGAGCCGCGGUAAUCCGUAGGGUGGAAGCGUUAAUCGGAAUUACGGGUCGUAAAGCGUGCGCAGGCGGUUCGGCAAGAAGGAUGUGAAAUCCCAGGGCUUAACCUUGGAACUGCAUUCUUAACUGCCGGGCUAGAGUAUGUCAGAGGGGGGUAGAAUUCCGCGUGUAGCAGUGAAAUGCGUAGAGAUGCGGAGGAAUACCGAUGGCGAAGGCAGCCCCCUGGGAUAAUACUGACGCUCAUGCACGAAAGCGUGGGGAGCAAAC
rnacentral:rRNA from 1 species